UCUCUGUUGAAGCUGAUGUGUAUGCUGG
rnacentral:piRNA from 1 species